rnacentral:rRNA from 1 species
GAUGAACGCUGGCGGCGUGCCUAAUACAUGCAAGUCGAGCGAACAGACGAGGCGCUUGCUUAUCUGCAGUUAGCGGCGGAUGGGUAAUUAACACGAGGAUAACCUACCUAUAAGAAUGGCAUAACUUCGGGAAAGCGGAGCUAAUACCGGAUAAUAUAUUGAACUGCAUGGAUCUAUAGAGCAAGCCGGCUUAGAUGUGACUAAUAGAGAGAUCCGAGCUGCAUUAGUUAGUUGGUAAGGUAACGGCUUACCAAGGCAACGAUGCGUAGACGACCAGGGAGUAUGAUCGGCCAUACUGGAACUAAGACACGGUCCAGACUCCAACGGAAGACGGCAGUAGGAAAACUUCCGAAUGGGGCGAAAGCCGGACGUAGCAAGGCCGCGUGGGUAAGGAGGGUCUUCGAUUCGUAAAACGCUGUUAUUAGGGAAGAAGAAAUGUGUAAUAAACGUUGUAGUUCUGAAGGUAACCAAAUCAGAAAGCCACGCCGAACUACGG